rnacentral:rRNA from 1 species
UACGGAAGGGGCGAGCGUUGUUCGGAAUCAUUGGGCGUAAAGGGCGCGUAGGUGGUUCUGUAUGUCUGCCGUGAAAGGGUACAGCUCAACUGUAGCUUGUCGGCAGAAACUGCAGGACUUGAGGCUGGGAGGGGCUGGUGGAAUUCCCUGUGUAGCGGUGAAAUGCGUAGAGAUCGGGAGGAACACCUGUGGCGAAGGCGGCUCGCUGGGCCGAUCCUGACGCUGAUGUGCGAAAGCCAGGGGAGCGAACGGG